GCGGGUGUAGUUUAGUGGCAGAACUGAAGCUUCCCAAGCUUUAGGUAUGGGUUCGAUUCCCAUCACCCGCUCCA
rnacentral:tRNA from 1 species